GAUGAAGAACGUAGCGAAAUGCGAUAAGUAAUGUGAAUUGCAGAAUUCAGUGAAUCAUCGAGUUUUUGAACGCAUAUUGCGCCCUCUGGUAUUCCGGGGGGCAUACCUGUCCGAGCGUCAUUGCUGCCCUCAAGCACGGCUUGUGUGUUGGGCCUCCGUCCUCCUCCCGGGGGACGGGCCCGAAAGGCAGCGGCGGCACCGCGUCCGGUCCUCGAGCGUAUGGGGCUUCGUCACCCGCUCUUGUAGGCCCGGCCGGCGCUUGCCGACACAUCAAUCUUUUUUCCAGGUUGACCUCGGAUCAGGUAGGGAUACCCGCUGAACUUAAGCAUAUCAAUAAGCGGAGGA
rnacentral:misc_RNA from 1 species